GUAAACCUCUUUUAGCAGGGAAGAAGCGAAAGUGACGGUACCUGCAGAAAAAGCACCGGCUAACUACGUGCCAGCAGCCGCGGUAAUACGUAGGGUGCAAGCGUUAUCCGGAAUUAUUGGGCGUAAAGAGCUCGUAGGCGGUUUGUCGCGUCUGCUGUGAAAACUGGGGGCUCAACCCCCAGCCUGCAGUGGGUACGGGCAGACUAGAGUGCGGUAGGGGAGAUUGGGAUUCCUGGUGUAGCGGUGGAAUGCGCAGAUAUCAGGAGGAACACCGAUGGCGAAGGCGGUUCUCUGGGCCUUUCCUGACGCUGAGGAGCGAAAGCGUGGGGAGCAAACAGGAUUAGAUACCCUGGUAGUCCACGCCCUAAACGAUGUGUGCUGGGCGUCGGGGGGCUUGCCCCUCGGUGCCGGAGCUAACGCGGUAAGCACACCGCCUGGGGAGUACGGCCGCAAGGUUAAAACUCAAAGGAAUUGACGGAA
rnacentral:rRNA from 1 species